rnacentral:rRNA from 1 species
UACGGGGGGGGUAAGCGUUGUUCGGAAUUACUGGGCGUAAAGGGCUCGUAGGCGGCCAACUAAGUCAUACGUGAAAUCCCUCAGCUUAACUGGGGAACUGCGUGUGAUACUGGAUGGCUUGGAUUUGGGAGAGGGAUGCGGAAUUCCAGGUGUAGCGGUGAAAUGCGUAGAUAUCUGGAGGAACACCGGUGGCGAAGGCGGCGUCCUGGACCAAUAUUGACGCUGAGGAGCGAAAGCCAGGGGAGCAAACGGG